CUCAGAAUUGAGGGUCACUUGGGAACACAGUAGUGACGGGCGUUGUCUUAGCCAAGUGUCUUCCCAACAAAGGAUGGAGAGGGGAGGCUCUCAGAGGGAGCAAAAAGAUGUCACACAAGCUCACCUCCCCACUCUCUCUCCUGCCCCCUUUCAGUUACUUAGUCAUCCACUCAACAGACAUGUGCUUAUUACAAGCCAGGCACCAGCGGGUGCGGAAAUGAACAAGUCCCCAUGGCAGCCCUCGCAAACCAACGACGAAAACAGCACGAUGGUGUUGAGAUCUUCAAUGAACAUGUGUUGAGAUGAAAUGGGCCCUGCCGGGUACUGCAAAAUAAGUGAAGAAGGAAGAUGUGUGGUGCUUGCAAUCUAACGGCUACAUGAAGGAGCUUGGUUCUCAAGUCCCAUAGCUGGUGAGUGAUGGGGCCGAGGCUGUCGAGCUCCAAAUUCCAAGUGCUCAGCCGUGCACUAAAAUGCCUCCCCUGUGGGGUCUGUAAAUGGGGAUGGAGGCUUCCAGACAUCUUUGGAGGUGCUUCUGGGGUUCCAUAACCAAAUUUGCAUCUAAUCGUGAAAAUGCAUUUUUAGCAUCAUUCAAAGGAAGUCUCUGAUGGCCAGUGGGGGACAGCGGACACCAGCAGGGGGAAAAGUUCAUUAAGCCUCUUGCUACCGACCUUACUGCAGAACUUCUGUGACAAGGCUACCAUGGAUAUGCAUUUAGGAACAGUGUCUGAUGAUGGAGCCUAGAGGAGAAUCCAAGAUGCUCGUCCAACCUACCUGACAAAUUUCCUCACGGGCUGAGACCAACUUAACCAUCAGCUGGAUGAAUGUAAGGAGGUAAGAAUGGCUUUAUUUUUGAAUGAUAGUUCACACAGGAAAAUGUGAAGAUUAUUCUGUAAGUCACCUGACGUGUACUCAACAGGCAAAGUCGUUUUUAAGUGUGAAGAUCAAUUUUUGCAAAGCAUCAGGCAAAACCCAUCGUGACAUCGGUAGUGAAAAGGAGAAAGCUGUGGCAGAAAGCCCCGCAGGAGCAUGGUACUCAUGAAAGUUAUCAACAACAUUUGUUCCUUCUGCCAUUUAUUCAUUAAAUAUUUGGGAGGUGGGGAGCACGUAGAAUAUUUCUGGAGUCAAUCCCGUGCUAGGUGCUCAGGAUCCAGCUGUGAGCAACAUAGAGGGUGUACAGGAAAGAAGAACAGUAAGCAGGCAAAUAUCUGUGACUAAUGUCAGGUGAGCACAGGAAUCUAGAGAGAACACGGCAGGCAGCUCAUCCUGCCUGGGGAAGAAGAUGCCUGUCAGGGAAAGGAUAA
rnacentral:lncRNA from 1 species